rnacentral:rRNA from 1 species
AACGAACGCUGGCGGCAUGCCUAACACAUGCAAGUCGAACGAGACCUUCGGGUCUAGUGGCGCACGGGUGCGUAACGCGUGGGAACCUGCCCUUAGGUUCGGAAUAACUCCCCGAAAGGGGUGCUAAUACCGGAUAAUGUCUUCGGACCAAAGAUUGAUCGCCCUUGGAUGGGCCGGCGUUGGAUUACCUAGUUGGUAGGGAAAAAGCCUACCAAGGCUAGGUUCCAUAGCUGGGCAGAGAGGAUGAUCGGCCACACUGGGAGUGGGACACGGCGCGGACUACUAGGGGAGGGGCGCGUGGGGAAUCUAGGCAAAUGGGGGAAGGCAAGAACGCGCAAUGCUGGGUAAGUGAUGAAGUCCUUAGGGUUGAAAAGCUUUUUAACCCGGGGUGAUAAUGACGGUACCGGAAGAAUAAGCACCGGCUAACUCCGUG